GCCAGGCACGGUGGUGCGUGCCUGUAGUCCCAGCUACUCGGGAGGCUGAGGUGGGAGGAUCACCUGAGCCCAGGAGUUCUGGGCUGUAGUGCGCUAUGCCGACUGGGUGUCUGCACUAAGUUCGGCAUCAAUACGGUGACCUCCCGGGAGCGGGGACCACCAGAUUGCCUAAGGAGGGGUGAACCGGCCCAGGUAGGAAACGGAGCAGGUCAAAAUUCCCGUGCUGAUCAGUAGUGGGAUCCGGCCUUUGAAUAGCCACUGCACUCCAGCCUGGGCAACAUAGCGAGACCCCAUCUCU
rnacentral:SRP_RNA from 1 species